GGCCUCUGGAAUUAUGGUUGGAUUCAAGACAGCUUUUUUCUCUUUUAGAUUAAGAACCAACCCAAGCUCUGGCAAGGAACUUGUGCAGAGGGAAUGAAAAGAUUAUCAUGCUCAAAAAAAGCCAUCCCUUGACCUAGGCCCCACUGGCAAACCCUCUACGCUAAAGAUGCAUCUUAUCUUAACACAGGAUUAAAGGAAAUAGUGGCUGGAGGCAUGCAGUUCAAUCAUCAGUCUGAGAAGACAUUGAUUCUCCAAUACCACCCCAUCUCAGCUUAAGGAAAAAUGAAAGAGGCAGAGGGAGAGAUAGAAACAUCAAUAAUGAGAAUCAUUGAUCGGCUACCUCCUGCACAUCCCCUACUAGGGAUUGAGCCCGAAACCUGGACAUGUGCCCUGACAAGGAAUCGAACUGUGACUUCCUGAUUCAUAGUUGACACUCAACCACUGAACCACACCGGCCUGGCUCGUUUCACUUACUUUUAAUCUGCUUUCCACCUUCCUCAGAAAAGAGGGAGCUUCUUACCUUUUCUUAAAUUACCCUCCCAACUAUGUCCCACCCCUUAACACCUUCAGAAUUCUCUCCAUCUUUCUUAUAUUUACUGGCUCCCACUGAAUAUUUCAUCCCUCUAUCCAA